rnacentral:tRNA from 1 species
CGGGGCGUGGCGCAGUUCGGUUCAGCGCGCACGGUUUGGGACCGUGAGGUCGUGGGUUCAAAUCCCACCGCCCCGA